rnacentral:lncRNA from 1 species
GCCUAUGGGAGCUGUAGGAAGUGUCACGUUACAGCAAAGAUCCUAAGUUUUCAAUAAAAAGAGUCAAGAAGCCCAAGGAAUGGUCAGAGAGGGCACUUCCUGUACAGAAUCUUCUCAGUAUACUGACCCGUUCAGUGGAGAGAGACAUGGGGGCUGCGGGAGGCGCGAAGCGUCGCACAGAGCGGUGAAGUCAAGAUAAAACUAAAAGAGUAACGCAUGAUUCCUCAGAACAGCUGACACACCCAUAAAGUGCUAUAAUUGAAAAUGUAAAUGAGGAGGUAAAUGAAAACAUGGUAUCAAGCAAAAAAUGUAUUAAGUCGGACAUUAUGUUUAUUAAUCAGGAGAUGGAGGGAGAUUCUAAAUUCAUGUUAAUGACAAUGUUAUCUUCUGUUUUAGAAUGAAACAGAGUAUUGUCUUUUUUUUCCCUUAUCGGACUAUUGUCUUUCACCUAGUCUUUUCUCUCCUCUUUUUCUCUCCCCCUUUCAUGUGUUUUCCUAUAACAGGUGGAUGAAGACAUGCGAGUGCUCGGGCCCUUGCUCUGCUCAUCUGUCUGCGAGGCGCUACCUGGAUUGUGGAUUCUAAGGUUCAUUAAAAAAUGAAGUAAUUAAUGCGUUUGUCAGCACUCUCUUUCUCUUCUCCUGCAGCCAGACUGCACAAAUCAAGCCUUUCUGACUCCGCUGCCCCGGGACCAAUCAGAGACAGAUCUGGGACUGAUACACAUCCUCACACCUUCACCACUUUUGUUUUCAGAGCAGUCUACUCCAAUUUAAAAGAACAUUAGAUGGAUAACCACAAUGCUGGGCAGAGAUUUUUUCUGGAGAAUCCCACUUUUGUUUGUACAGGAUUUGCUCUCGCCUCCUUUGAAGGACAGACUUCAAUAGUUGAAAAAAAUGAAAUAAAUUGUCAACGGUGUGCGUACUGGGAGCGGAGUCAGGUGCAGGAGAGCAGAGAGUUGUGAACAGGCACACACUUUAUUUAGGCAGGAGAAACCAACAGACGGACACCACUGCGUCAAAACUGUCACGAUUCCCAC